rnacentral:rRNA from 1 species
AACGAACGCUGGCGGCAGGCCUAACACAUGCAAGUCGAACGAGAAGCCACCUUCGGGUGGUGGACAGUGGCAGACGGGCGAGUAACGCGUGGGAACGUGCCUUUCGGUUCGGGAUAACCCAGGGAAACUUGGGCUAAUACCGGAUACGCCCUCCGGGGGAAAGAUUCAUCGCCGAAAGAUCGGCCCGCGUCGGAUUAGCUAGUUGGUAGGGUAAUGGCCUUCCAAGGCGACGAUCCGUAGCUGGUCUGAGAGGAUGACCAGCCACACUGGGACUGAGACACGGCCCAGACUCCUACGGGAGGCAGCAGUGGGGAAUAUUGGACAAUGGGCGAAAGCCUGAUCCAGCCAUGCCGCGUGGGUGAAGAAGGCCUUAGGGUUGUAAACCCCUUUCAGCGGGGAAGAUAAUGACGGUACCCGCAGAAGAAGUCCCGGCUAACUCCUUGCCAGCCGCCGCCGUAAAAC